GACGAACGCUGGCGGCGUGCUUAACACAUGCAAGUCGAGCGGAGCGGCGAACGGGUGAGUAACGCGGUAGUAACUGGCCCCCUCCCUGGGGUAACAGUUGGAAACGGCUGCUAAUACCGGAUAGUGGGGGAUGACUCGCGUCCAAUUAGCUUGUUGGUGGGGUAGUGGCCUGCCAAGGCGAAGAAUGGUUGCCGGCCUGAUGGGACGACCGGUCACAAUGGGCUGGGGUACGGCCCAAACGCCUACGGUGGGCAGCGGGGGGGAAUAUUGCACAAUGGGGGAAACCCUGAUACAGCGACGCCGCGUGCGUAAUGACGGCCUUCGGGUUGGAAACCGCUUACGGCCAUGACGCGGUAGUGGCAGAAGAAGCACCGGCUAACUACGUGCCAGCAGCCGCGGUAAUUC
rnacentral:rRNA from 1 species